rnacentral:rRNA from 1 species
CCUACGGGUGGCAGCAGUGAGGAAUAUUGGUCAAUGGGCUUACGCCUGAACCAGCCAAGUCGCGUGAGGGAAGACUGCCCUAUGGGUUGUAAACCUCUUUUGUCAGGGAGCAACGCCGGCUACGUGUAGCCGGACUGAGAGUACCUGAAGAAAAAGCAUCGGCUAACUCCGUCCCAGCAGCCGCGGUAAUACGGAGUAUGCGAGUGUUAUCGGGUUUUAUGGGGUUUAAGGGGUUCGUAGGCGGAAGGCCAAGUCAGAGGGAAAAUCGCGGGGCUAAACCUCGCACGGCCGUUGAAACUGGCGAUCGUGAGUAGGGGAGAGGUAGGCGGAAUGCGUGGUGUAGCGGUGAAAUGCAUAGAUAUCACGAAGAACUCCGAUUGCGAAGGCAGUAUACCGGCGCCCAACUGACGCUGAGGCGCGAAAGCGUGGGUAUCGAACAGGAUUAGAUACCCCAGUAGUC